rnacentral:rRNA from 1 species
UACAGAGGAGCCAAGCGUUGUCCGGAUUGACUGGGCGUAAAGCGCACGCAGGCGGUUGCGCGCGUGGGGUGUGAAAUCUGGCCGCUUAACGGCCAGGCGCCAUCCCAUACGGCGCGACUGGAGUGAUGCAGAGGUCGAUGGAAUUGCCGGUGUAGUGGUGAAAUGCGUAGAGAUCGGCAGGAACACCUGCGGCGAAGGCGGGUUGCUGGGCUGACACUGACGCUGAGGCGCGAAAGCUAGGGGAGCGAACGGG